UACGUAGGGCGCAAGCGUUAUCCGGAAUUAUUGGGCGUAAAGAGCUCGUAGGCGGUCUGUCGCGUCGGCUGUGAAAACUCGGGGCUCAACCCCGAGCCUGCAGUCGAUACGGGCAGACUAGAGUGCUGUAGGGGAGACUGGAAUUCCUGGUGUAGCGGUGAAAUGCGCAGAUAUCAGGAGGAACACCGGUGGCGAAGGCGGGUCUCUGGGCAGUAACUGACGCUGAGGAGCGAAAGCGUGGGGAGCGAACAGG
rnacentral:rRNA from 1 species